rnacentral:rRNA from 1 species
UAGGGAAUCUUCCACAAUGGACGCAAGUCUGAUGGAGCAACGCCGCGUGAGUGAAGAAGGUUUUCGGACCGUAAAGCUCUGUUGUUGGUGAAGAAGGAUAGAGGUAGUAACUGGCCUUUAUUUGACGGUAAUCAACCAGAAAGUCACGGCUAACUACGUGCCAGCAGCCGCGGUAAUACGUAGGUGGCAAGCGUUGUCCGGAUUUAUUGGGCGUAAAGCGAGCGCAGGCGGAAGAAUAAGUCUGAUGUGAAAGCCCUCGGCUUAACCGAGGAAUUGCAUCGGAAACUGUUUUCUUGAGUGCAGAAGAGGAGAGUAAAAC